rnacentral:rRNA from 1 species
UACGUAGGUGGCAAGCGUUGUCCGGAUUUAUUGGGUUUAAAGGGUGCGUAGGCGGUCUAUUAAGUCAGCGGUGAAAUACUCCAGCUUAACUGGAGGGGUGCCAUUGAUACUGAUGGACUUGAGUCAAGUCGAGGUAGGCGGAAUUGACGGUGUAGCGGUGAAAUGCUUAGAUAUCGUCAAGAACACCAAUAGUGAAGACAGCUUACUGGGCUUAAACUGACGCUGAGGCACGAAGGUGUGGGGAUCAAACAGG